UCCUCUGAAGCAGAAACACAGCUUGCAGAUAGAGAAUUGGGACACAGACUGCUCUGGCUUCUUCCAUGCUGAACAGGGAUGCAGGUGUCUUCUAAUUGGCUAGAUCCUCCAAUGGGCAAGGCCUGCUGAUUUUUGGGGAGAGUGGACUAUGAAGGAUCUGCUGGAGCCAUCUUGGGAUUGAAGCCGUGAGCCGUGGGUAGUGUGCAUAAUAUGGGGAAUGGGCAGCCAGCCAUGCAGCAGCUGAAGGACAGAAUGGACUGACUCUUACGGACCUGGGGACACAACUGUGUUAACAUCACUAUCAUCCAUGCUUCAUGACAGCAAGAAAUUCCCCAACCUAGAGAUGUUUGAUUCCAACCAGUUUCUGGAUGAGAAUGGAACUUUAAAAAAACUGACUGCUUCAAAUCUUUCUCAACAGACUCACUGUUGGAGAGGAAUUCUUGAACCAACCUGUUGUUAAAAGCUAAGGAAGCAGGUGUCCUCUGAUGGCAAAAGAAGAUGUUGGAUGCCCUGGAGCUGGAGUUAUUGGCAGUUGUGAGCUGCCAUAUGUGGGUACUGGGAGCCUUACUCUGCAGGAGCAGCAAAUGAUUGUAACUUAGCCACCUCUCCUGCACCAAUGUUUUUGCAUAUGCUUAAAAGUCAAUUAAAAAUAAUCACAUCUCAUUAUUGUAUAGUUUUCUGGAAAAUCAUUUAGUUGAAAAUCAGCUGAUCAUAUAAAACAUAAGUAUUUUAUGUUCAA